rnacentral:rRNA from 1 species
UGGGGAAUAUUGCACAAUGGGCGCAAGCCUGAUGCAGCCAUGCCGCGUGUGUGAAGAAGGCCUUCGGGUUGUAAAGCACUUUCAGCGAGGAGGAAGGUGGUGAACUUAAUACGUUCAUCAAUUGACGUUACUCGCAGAAGAAGCACCGGCUAACUCCGUGCCAGCAGCCGCGGUAAUACGGAGGGUGCAAGCGUUAAUCGGAAUUACUGGGCGUAAAGCGCACGCAGGCGGUUUGUUAAGUCAGAUGUGAAAUCCCCGGGCUCAACCUGGGAACUGCAUUUGAAACUGGCAAGCUAGAGUCUCGUAGAGGGGGGUAGAAUUCCAGGUGUAGCGGUGAAAUGCGUAGAGAUCUGGAGGAAUACCGGUGGCGAAGGCGGCCCCCUGGACGAAGACUGACGCUCAGGUGCGAAAGCGUGGGGCAGCAAACAGGAUUAGAUACCCUGGUAGUCCACGCUGUAAACGAUGUCGAUUUGGAGGUUGUGCCCUUGAGGCGUGGCUUCCGGAGCUAACGCGUUAAAUCGACCGCCUGGGGAGUACGGCCGCAAGGUUAAAACUUAAAGGAAUUG